AUUGAACGCUGGCGGCAGGCCUAACACAUGCAAGUCGAGCGCGAAAGGCUUUCGGGCUGAGUAGAGCGGCGGACGGGUGAGUAACGCGUAGGAAUCUACCUGGUAGUGGGGGACAACUUGGGGAAACUCAAGCUAAUACCGCAUACGCCCUAUGGGGGAAAGUGGGGGACCUUCGGGCCUCACGCUAUCAGAUGAGCCUGCGUAGGAUUAGCUAGUUGGUGAGGUAAAGGCUCACCAAGGCGACGAUCCUUAGCUGGUCUGAGAGGAUGAUCAGCCACACUGGGACUGAGACACGGCCCAGACUCCUACGGGAGGCAGCAGUGGGGAAUAUUGCGCAAUGGGGGCAACCCUGACGCAGCCAUGCCGCGUGUGUGAAGAAGGCCUUCGGUUGUAAGACACUU
rnacentral:rRNA from 1 species